UUUAACGUCUGGACCGCCUCAUCUUGCGGUACUCAAACUAUGGGGGCACUUUUUUUUUUCUUUAAAAAGUGCCGCCUAGUUUUAAGCCCCGCCGGUUGAGAAAACGGCUAUCUGGCACA
rnacentral:pre_miRNA from 7 species